GCCUGGAUAGCUCAGUUGGUUAGAGCUUGGUGCUGAUAAUCCUAAGGUUGCAGGUUCGAUCCCUGCAAAGGACA